CGUCUUCGGGGCGGGGUGAAAUUCCCCACCGGCGGUAUAGUCCGCGAGCCUUUGGGCAGAAUCGGUGAGAUUCCGAUACCGACAGUACAGUCUGGAUGUGAGAAGACG
rnacentral:ncRNA from 1 species